GAUUUCUGGCUUGGUGCGCCUGGCCCACUGCCAUCAGGUAUGUGAGUGCCGGUGCGCGCCUGCCAUCCCUUCUAGAAAACGGCUCUGCUCUUCACUGGGCCGGAGUCGCGAUCUAGAUCUUUUACUUUGAAAAAAUUAGAGUGUUUAAAGCAGGCUUGCGCUAUGAAUACAUUAGCAUGGAAUAAUAAUCUAGGACUUCGGUUCUAUUUUGUUGGUUUCUAUAACUGAAGUAAUGAUUGAUAGGGAUAGUUGGGGGUGCUAGUAUUGGCCGGCCAGAGGUGAAAUUCUUGGAUUCGGUCAAGACUAACUUAUGCGAAAGCAUU
rnacentral:rRNA from 1 species